UACGGGGGGGGCAAGCGUUGUUCGGAAUUACUGGGCGUAAAGGGCUCGUAGGCGGCCAACUAAGUCAGACGUGAAAUCCCUCGGCUUAACCGGGGAACUGCAUCUGAUACUGGAUGGCCUGAGUUCGGGAGAGGGAUGCGGAAUUCCAGGUGUAGCGGUGAAAUGCGUAGAUAUCUGGAGGAACACCGGUGGCGAAGGCGGCAUCCUGGACCGACACUGACGCUGAGGAGCGAAAGCGUGGGGAGCAAACAGG
rnacentral:rRNA from 1 species